GCGGGCGCCCCUCCCCCAGCCUCACUGCCGCUUUGCAGUUUGAUCUCAGACUGCUGUGCUAGCAAUCAGCGAGACUCCGUGGGCGUAGGACCCCCGCUCCCCACCCCCGAGCCAGGUGUGGGAUAUAAUCUUGUGGUGCACCGUUUUUUAAGCCCGUCGGAAAAGCGCAGUAUUCGGGUGGGAGUGACCCGAUUUUCCAGGUGCCGACCGUCACCCCUUUCUUUGACUAGGAAAGGGAACUGCCUGACCCCUUGCGCUUCCCGAGUGAGGCAAUGCCUCGCCCUGCUUCGGCUCGUGCAUGGUGCGUGCACCCACUGACCUGCGCCCACUGUCUGGCAUUCCCUAGUGAGAUGAACCCGGUACCUCAGAUGGAAAUGCAGAAAUCACCCAUCUUCUGAGUCGCUCACGCUGGGAGCUGUAGACCGGAGCUGUUCCUAUUCGGCCAUCUUGGCUCCUCCCCUGACAUGAAGAGCACAAAAUUUUAAGACAAAAACUGAAAAAAACUUCCAAGUUUACAAAUAUUUUGGAAAUGUAAGGAGAUAGAUAAGAUUCGAAAGUUACAAUUUCUAUUGAAAACGUCAGUGCUCUAAAUUAUGGCACACAAGAUUUGAAUGAAUCAUAGAGUAGCCAAAUCAUGUAUCCAGAUCUUCUGGAAGACCUGUGGCAGUCUAUUGAAGAAGUGAGCAGUAGAAUAUGAACUCAAAGUCUGAAAUUUGGAAUGCCAGAUAAAGCUGGAUAAAGAUAAUGGAUUUAAAGGAAACUACUAGUAGAAGAUCUUCUUCACCAGAAUCUCUAUCAGAAAUGUAAUAUAAAAUAUACCUUUUUAAUAUCAUGGAAAAGACAAUAUACUUACUACCACUGCUUCUAAUGAAGAUUAUGCUGGAGUUCCUAGCCGUGCAUAAUAAGAAAUUAGACAGGGGUUGAAAUAUAGAGGUAAAGGGAAAGAGAGAGAGAAGAAUCAAAGAAAGAAAAGGGUGUAAGUAUGAGUUAGAAAGAAAGAAGAACACUAAAGGUAAUAACUGUAUUGAUGAGAUUCUUAAAACUAACAACAAACAAAUUUUAUCAAA
rnacentral:lncRNA from 1 species